rfam:Oryza meridionalis cultivar OR44 (W2112) chromosome 3, whole genome shotgun sequence.
UUUAAACACAGCUAUAGGUUUCCGUGUUCAACUUUGAUCGCCUGCCUUAUUUAAUUUUUCUUUUACGAUUGGUGCUUUUUUUGUCAUUAGAUGAUAAAAAAUAAAUAGUAUUUUAUGCGUGACUUUUGUUUUUUAUUUUUUUUUAAAAAAAAUUCAAACAAACGGACGAUUAAAAUUGGAUACGGAAACUUAUGGCUACAUUUAAA